rnacentral:rRNA from 1 species
UAUAGAGGGUGCGAGCGUUGUUCGGAAUUAUUGGGCGUAGAGCGCGUGUAGGCGGCUUUGCAAGUCGGGUGUGAAAUCCCUCAGCUCAACUGAGGAAGUGCGCCCGAAACUGCAGAGCUUGAGUACCGGAGAGGAUGGCGGAAUUCCCGAAGUAGAGGUGAAAAUUCGUAGAUAUCGGGAGGAACACCGGGUGGCGAAGGCGGCCAUCUGGACGGAUACUGACGCUGAGACGCGAAAGCGUGGGGAGCAAACAGGG